AGCGAACGCUGGCGGCAGGCUUAACACAUGCAAGUCGAGCGGGCAUCUUCGGAUGUCAGCGGCAGACGGGUGAGUAACACGUGGGAACGUACCCUUCGGUUCGGAACAACUCUGGGAAACUGGAGCUAAUACCGGAUACGCCCUUAUGGGGAAAGGUUUACUGCCGAAGGAUCGGCCCGCGUCUGAUUAGCUAGUUGGUGGGGUAACGGCCUACCAAGGCGACGAUCAGUAGCUGGUCUGAGAGGAUGAUCAGCCACACUGGGACUGAGACACGGCCCAGAGCCCUAACGUAGGCAGGAGUGGAGAAUAUUGUGGUAUGGACGCUGGACUUAUCAAGCCAUGCAGCGUGAGUGAUGAAGGCGGUAGGGUUAUAAAGCUCCUCUGUCCGGAGCGCUAAUGACGGUACCGGAAGAAUAAGCACCGGCUAAGUUCGUG
rnacentral:rRNA from 1 species